rnacentral:sRNA from 1 species
UUGUGGUGUAUGUGUUGAUUGUGUAUGCAUAGCUUGAUGGAUGCGCCUUCGAACCUUCAAGUGGGCUAACUUUUACAUAUUUUCUUAAAAAUGUAUUUUUUUGGAGGUUUCAAGAAAUAAAAAUAAAAAGGAGGACUGGUAGGAAAAGGGGGGGAGCGUUUUUGAGAGGGAAGAGAGAAGACCAGAGAGAGAGAAACUCACCCAUCUUCAUUCUUCUUCUCCUUCAAUUAUUUUUCUUUGUUCCUUCUUUAGAAUCAAAAGUUCUUUUGACCCAAUUGUUUUUCUUCUUCAAAUUUGGGUUUUUUCCUCUUUCUCGGACCAAACCCUAGAACAGUGAGCAAUGAAGAUUGAAGGCUUAGUUUUUUUUUUUAUUUUUUGUGCGAGGGAGAGCACCAAAUGUUGAAUCCGAGUAAGAUCGGUGGUUAGUGUGAGGCACUAAGAGAAUCAGUUUGCGAGUCAAAGAGAGAACACAGGACUGGGAGAGCAAGAUACAUAAUGUUCGAACCAAGGGUUACCGUAAAGAGGAGGAACAGGGAUUUGCGGAGAUGGAUUUGCUGGUGAUUCUGGUGUUCAUAGAGGUAAUGAAGGAAUGUGAUUGCGAGAUUAGCUUCUCUUGCUAUCGUCCUUGGGACGAGGAAAUUUGUAGGUGAGAAAUGGUAUUUUACAAUAUUGUCCUUAAUUUUUCAUCACUUGCAGUGAAAGAGAGAGAGAGAGUGUGCUAUUUGAAACUUCAAUGGCAAAUGAAAUGAUUCGGGGAUGUUGGAAUUGGUUUUUGGGAUUAGCUCUUCAAGUGGAAAACACUACAUGGAAUUAAUUCCAUUAAUAUAUACAUAAGUAUAUCACCUAUGAG